ACACCUUGCAAGAAAAGCUUCUUGAGCUUUCUUCACAUUCUCUUCUUUUCCUCCCCACGCCUUCAAAGUACUCUGCUGUAAAGCACGACCGAAUGAGAAAGUCAAAGUCCAUGGCUUCUUUCCUUUGAACUGGUUCAUCGCGUUGAGGUGAACGGUGGCUUGUUCCUCGCUCUGGCCGCCGGAGAGGAAGACAACCGCCGGGACAGCUGGCGGCAUGGUGCGUUGAAGAGCUCUGACGGUGUACUCCGCCACGACUUCCGGUGCGACCUUUUUGGCGUCGGAGCCGGGUGUGACCAUGUUGGGUUUCAGAAGGGUGCCUUCUAGAAGAACAUGGUGGUCGUUGAGAGCUUUGUAGCAGGCGGCGAGGACACGCUCGGUUACGUCAGCGCAUUUGUUGAUGUCGUGAGAUCCGUCGACGAGGAUUUCUGGUUCAACAAUGGGGACUAGACCGUUUUCUUGACAGAUGAUUGCGUACCUUGCUAAUCCGUUUGCGU
rnacentral:lncRNA from 1 species